AUGUCGACGCAGUCCAUCUCGCCCGCCUCCGCGUCCGCGCAGUUCCCCUACCCUGCUACCGCCGCGGCUGCGGCCCCGUCGUACUUCCCCGUGCCCUUCCACCUCCAGACCUCGCAGUACCCUACCUGGCCGACGGUGGCCCCCGCGCAGCCGGCGCCGGCGUACAACGCCGUCUACCCCAUGCCCCAAGUCCAGCAGGCACAACAGCUGUUCCAGAGAGACUCGCAGAUAAUCAGCCCUGAAGCUCUCGCCACUGUGAAGGCUGCUAUUGCAGAUAAUGACAAAGACAAGAAAGUUGAAGUAAACAAAAAGGCAGUUCCUCGAAAGGCAGCUGGGCAAUGCUGGGAGGAUCCGACGUUAGCUGACUGGCCUGAAAGUGACUUCCGUUUGUUUUGUGGUGAUCUUGGAAAUGAAGUGAAUGAUGAUGUUCUGACCAAGACUUUUUCAAAAUAUCCAUCCUUCAACAUGGCUAAGGUUAUACGGGAUAAAUCUACCGGUAAAACUAAAGGCUACGGGUUUGUUAGUUUCGCCAAUGCAUCGGAUCUUGCGGCAGCACUAAAAGAGAUGAACGGUAAAUAUGUUGGAAAUCGACCAAUCAAGCUACGGAAGAGCACAUGGAAGAAUAGACUACGAAGCUUUGCUGAAGCCGAAGAUUCGGCGACAGAAGAAGCUCAAAGUGCAGCCCAGAAGUGUUUUACACAAGUGAAGCAUAUUAUUCUCCUAGUUUGUCACUACAAAUAUAGAACAGUUAAUGUAAGAUGUGUCUGUUUUCGCCUUAUUGCGGGCUGUAACUCAUAUUCCAGAGUCUUUAGUGCACUCCAGUUUAUGAUUGCAAUGUACUCCCUCCGUCCGAAAAUACUUGUCAUCAAAAUGGAAAUAUCCAAAUGA
rnacentral:rRNA from 1 species